rnacentral:rRNA from 1 species
CCUGACGUAGACGCUAGUUUCACAGAUUGAUCCAUGCAAUUUUUGGGAACCUAUUAUUAGGGGACCGGAGGAAGGCUCAGUAACGGGUAUCUAUUUGCUCUCGGUGUGUGAAUAACCUCAGGAAACGGAGGCUAAAAGCGAAGAGACUAAGGGACCAGGUCAUCAGUUAGUAGGUAGGGUAAGGGCCUACCUAGACGUGGACGACUACGGGGAAGAUGAUUUCUAUUUCCGGAGAGGGAGCUGAAGAGAUGGA